CAGUCGCCGCGGUAAUACGUAGGGUGCGAGCGUUAAUCGGAAUUACUGGGCGUAAAGCGUGCGCAGGCGGUUGUGUAAGACAGGUGUGAAAUCCCCGGGCUUAACCUGGGAACUGCGCUUGUGACUGCACAGCUAGAGUAUGGCAGAGGGGGGUGGAAUUCCACGUGUAGCAGUGAAAUGCGUAGAGAUGUGGAGGAACACCGAUGGCGAAGGCAGCCCCCUGGCCCAAUACUGACGCUCAUGCACGAAAGCGUGGGGAGCAAACAGGAUUAGAUACCCCUGUAGUCCCUGUCUCUUAUAC
rnacentral:rRNA from 1 species